CCUACGUGUGGCAGCAGUCGAGAAUCAUUCACAAUGGGCGAAACCCUGAUCCUGCGACGCCGCGUGGGGGAAUGAAGUUCUUCGGAUUGUAAACCCCUUUCAUGUGGGAGCAAAUUAAAAAGAUAGUACCACAAGAGGAAUAGACGGCUAACUCUGUGCCAGCAGCCGCGGUAAUACAGAGGUGUCAAGCGUUGUUCGGAAUCACUGGGCGUAAAGCGUGCGUAGGCUGUUUCGUAAGUCGUGUGUGAAAGGCGCGGGCUCAACCCGCGGAGGGCCGAUGAUACUGCGAGACUAGAGUAAUGGAGGGGGAACCGGAAUGCUCGGUGUAGCAGUGAAAUGCGUAGAUAUCGAGAGGAACCCUCGUGGCGAAGGCGGGUUCCUGGACAUUAACUGACGCUGAGGCACGAAGGCCAGGGGAGCGAAAGGGAUUAGAUACCCGGGUAGUC
rnacentral:rRNA from 1 species